rnacentral:rRNA from 1 species
CACGUAGGGCGCAAGCGUUGUCCGGAAUUAUUGGGCGUAAAGAGCUCGUAGGUGGCCUGUUGCGUCCGCUGUGAAAACUCAGGGCUUAACCCUGAGCCGGCAGUGGAUACGGGCAGGCUAGAGGUAGGUAGGGGAGAAUGGAAUUCCUGGUGUAGCGGUGAAAUGCGCAGAUAUCAGGAAGAACACCCGUGGCGAAGGCGGUUCUCUGGGACGGUACUGACGCUGAGACGCGAAAGCGUGGGGAGCGAACAGG